GGGUCCGUAGCCUCCGGCACAGACUCCUCCAACUCCCCCCCGGGCUCCUUGUUCGAGCCCUCUCGGAACCCGUCCCAGGCCUCUUCCCUUGCCGUCUCCAGGGCCCCGUCAGUGGUCUCGCUGCGUGUGGGCUCCACGGUCCCGUCGCUGGUCUCGCUGAAGGCGGGGUCACAGUUCCAUUCCCAGGACUGGUCGAAAAGGGACUCCCAAGUCUCCUUGGCCUCGUCCCGCCUGGGCUCCCUGGCCCUGUCCAGCCCCGGCUCGCGGCUCUCAUCCUUGACCCAGUCCCUCUAUGGCUCCAGGAUCCCUUCGCGGUCCUCGUACCGCGGGGCCUCGCAGAGCACCACUGCCUCUGCUGAUUCUGUCCCGGGGCCGGGCCAGCCGACGGAGACCAAGGACACUGACAGGGCAGACUGAACCCACCCGGAAGGAGUCCAGGGUGGGGGAGACCGAGCGCAGGAAGCUAGCUGUUGGACUCCUCCCCCGUUUCAUUAUCUGAGAUGUCAACAUGCACAUUUAAGCGCAUGAUUCAUGAAGAGCCCCCAACCCUCCACACACUUUGUAUCUCCAUCCCACCUUCCAGGCUUCAGAAUCCAACACUCCCAUUACCCUCAGACCGGCCACUGCUCCUCUCUGUGGAAAGUCAUUCCCCUGGGUACUGACAUUUGGGACAUAUUUGUAUGUAAGUUACACUUUAAUAAGAGUUACUUGGAAAAUC